ACGACUGCUAAUACCGCAUAAUGUCUACGGACCAAAGGGGGCUUCGGCUCUCGCCUUUAGAUUGGCCCAAGUGGGAUUAGCUAGUUGGUGAGGUAAUGGCUCACCAAGGCGACGAUCCCUAGCUGGUUUGAGAGGAUGAUCAGCCACACUGGGACUGAGACACGGCCCAGACUCCUACGGGAGGCAGCAGUGGGGAAUAUUGCACAAUGGGCGCAAGCCUGAUGCAGCCAUGCCGCGUGUGUGAAGAAGGCCUUCGGGUUGUAAAGCACUUUCAGUCAGGAGGAAAGGUUAACGGUUAAUACCCGUUAGCUGUGACGUUACUGACAGAAGAAGCACCGGCUAACUCCGUGCCAGCAGCCGCGGUAAUACGGAGGGUGCGAGCGUUAAUCGGAAUUACUGGGCGUAAAGCGUACGCAGGCGGUUUGUUAAGCGAGAUGUGAAAGCCCCGGGCUCAACCUGGGAACUGCAUUUCGAACUGGCAAACUAGAGUGUGAUAGAGGGUGGUAGAAUUUCAGGUGUAGCGGUGAAAUGCGUAGAGAUCUGAAGGAAUACCGAUGGCGAAGGCAGCCACCUGGGUCAACACUGACGCUCAUGUACGAAAGCGUGGGGAGCAAACGGGAUUAGAUACCCCGGUAGUCCACGCCGUAAACGAUGUCUACUAGAAGCUCGGAGCCUCGGUUCUGUUUUUCAAAGCUAACGCAUUAAGUAGACCGCCUGGGGAGUACGGCCGCAAGGUUAAAACUCAAAUGAAUUGACGGGGGCCCGCACAAGCGGUGGAGCAUGUGGUUUAAUUCGAU
rnacentral:rRNA from 1 species